rnacentral:rRNA from 1 species
AUUGAACGCUGGCGGCAGGCCUAACACAUGCAAGUCGAACGAGUGGCGGACGGGUGAGUAAUGUCUGGGAAACUGCCCGAUGGAGGGGGCUAACUACUGGAAACGGUAGCUAAAACUGCAUAACAUCGUAUGGGCCCAGAUGGGAUUAGCUAGUAGGUGGGGUAAUGGCUCACCUAGGCGACGAUCCCUAGCUGGUCUGAGAGGAUGACCAGCCACACUGGAACUGAGACACGGUCCAGACUCCUACGGGAGGCAGCAGUGGGGAAUAUUGCACAAUGGGCGCAAGCCUGAUGCAGCCAUGCCGCGUGUAUGAAGAAGGCCUUCGGGUUGUAAAGUACUUUCAGCGAGGAGGCGUUACUCGCCUAGGAAGCACCGGCUAACUACGUGCCAGCAGCCGCGGUAAUAC